GGAAAGGCAGCUAUGGGUGAAGCAAGCGAUUUGCUAAAUCGUGAUAUUUUUAUCUUAGGAGUUCGAUUCUCCUCCCUUCCG
rnacentral:tRNA from 1 species